rnacentral:rRNA from 1 species
UGUUUGACAGAGGUAGAGCUACCAAUAGGACUAGGGGGAGUCAAAUCCUACCAAAUCCUGAUGAACUCCGAAUGCUGUCAAAUUAUCCCGGGAGUGAGGGUCAGGGUGCUAAGGUCCUGAUCCGAGAGGGAAAGAACCCGGACCAUCAGCUAAGGUCCCCAAUUGUAUGUUAAGUUGAACUAAGGCGGUUCAGUUGCUUAGACAGCCAGGAUGUUGGCUUGGAAGCAGCCAUUCAUUUAAAGAGUGCGUAACAGCUCACUGGUCGAGCGACAGAGCAUCGAUAAUGAUCGGGCAUCAAACAUACAACCGAAGCUAUGGUCUUGUCAGUAAUGGCGAGAGGUAGGGGAGCAUUCCAUUUGCGGAGAAGGUGUGGCGUCAGCCAUGUUGGAGCGGAUGGAAAAGCAAAUGUAGGCAUAAGUAACGAUAAUGCUAGUGAGAAACUAGCACACCAAUAGACUAAGGUUUCCUCAGCAAUGCUAAUCAGCUGAGGGUUAGUCAGGGCCUAAGGCGAAGCCGAGAGGCGUAGUCGAUGGACAACAGGUUAAUAUUCCUGUACUACCUUAUAGAGUGAAGGGGUGACGGAGUAGUGAAAGUCCCGCGUACUGACGGAAUAGUACGUUGAAGGGUGUAGGUAUUGGAUGUGUAGGUAAAUCCGCACAACUAGCCGAACCUGAUAGUACCACAACGCUUCGGCAGCGUGGAUAGUGGACCUAAUCAGACUUCCAAGAAAACCCUCUAAACAUAUGUAUAAGGUACCUGUACCGCAAACCGACACAGGUAGUCAAGGAGAGAAUCCUAAGGUGCUCGAGUGAUCCGUGGCUAAGGAACUAGGCAAAAUGGCCCUGUAACUUCGGGAGAAGGGGCGCUCCGUUAGUGAUAACGGAGCCGCAGUGAAGAGGCCCAGGCGACUGUUUAACAAAAACACAUGGCUUUGCGAAAUCGAAAGAUGAAGUAUAAGGCCUGACACCUGCCCGGUGCUGGAAGGUUAAGGGGGGACGUUAGUCAGCAAUGGCGAAGCGUUGAACUGAAGCCCCAGUAAACGGCGGCCGUAACUAUAACGGUCCUAAGGUAGCGAAAUUCCUUGUCGGGUAAGUUCCGACCUGCACGAAUGGUGUAACGAUCUGGGCACUGUCUCGGCCACGAGCUCGGUGAAAUUGUAGUAGCGGUGAAGAUGCCGCUUACCCGCAACGGGACGAAAAGACCCCAUGAACCUUUACUAUAGCUUCACAUUGACAUUGGGUAAAAUAUGUGUAGGAUAGGUGGGAGACUUCGAAGCUGUGUCGCCAGGCAUGGUGGAGUCGUUGUUGAAAUACCACCCUUAUUUUAUCUGAUGCCUAAUCCCGCCU